UACAGAGGUGGCAAGCGUUGUUCGGAAUUACUGGGCGUAAGGGCGCGUAGGCGGCCUCUUAAGUCGAACGUGAAAUCCCCAGGCUCAACCUGGGAACUGCGUCUGAUACUGGAUGGCUUGAAUCCGGGAGAGGGAUGCAGAAUUCCAGGUGUAGCGGUGAAAUGCGUAGAUAUCUGGAGGAAUACCGGUGGCGAAGGCGGCAUCCUGGACCGGCAUUGACGCUGAGGAGCGAAAGCGUGGGGAGCAAACAGG
rnacentral:rRNA from 1 species